UACGAGGGGGGCAAGCGUUGUUCGGAAUUAUUGGGCGUAAAGGGCGCGUAGGCGGUGCGGUAAGUCACCUGUGAAAACUCUGGGCUCAACUCAGAGCCUGCAGCGAAACUGCCGUGCUUGAGUAUGGCAGAGGGGGGUAGAAUUCCACGUGUAGCAGUGAAAUGCGUAGAGAUGUGGAGGAAUACCGAUGGCGAAGGCAGCCCC
rnacentral:rRNA from 1 species